UACGUAGGGGGCAAGCGUUGUCCGGAAUCAUUGGGCGUAAAGAGCGUGUAGGCGGCUUGGUAAGUCCGCUGUGAAAGUCCAGGGCUCAACCCUGGAAUGCCGGUGGAAACUGUCAAGCUUGAGUCCGGAAGAGGCGAGUGGAAUUCCCGGUGUAGCGGUGAAAUGCGCAGAUAUCAGGAGGAACACCAAUGGCGAAGGCAGCUCGCUGGGACGGUACUGACGCUGAGACGCGAAAGCGUGGGGAGCAAACAGG
rnacentral:rRNA from 1 species